AGAGUUUGAUCCUGGCUCAGGAUGAACGCUGGCGGCAGGUUUGACACAUGCAAGUCGAACGGGAAGCCGGUGCUUGCACCGGUGGAGAGUGGCGAACGGCUGAGUAACACGUAGGAACCUACCCCUCGGACUGGGAUAACGGGGCGAAAGCCCCGCUAAUACCGGAUAUAUUCCUCGGAAGGAAACGGUCCGCCGCCGGGGGAAGGGCCUGCGGCGUACUAGCUAGAUGGUGAGGUAACGGCUCACCAUGGCAAUGGUGCGUAGCUGGUCUGAGAGGACGAUCAGCCAGACUGGGACUGCGACACGGCCCAGACUCCUACGGGAGGCAGCAGUUCAGAAUCUUGCCCAAUGGACGAAAGUCUGAGGCAGCCAUGCCGCGUGUGCGAAGAAGGCCCUCGGGUCGUAAAGCACUGUCAGGAGGGAAGAUCGUGACGGUACCUCCAAAGGAAGCCACGGCUAAUUCCGUGCCAGCAGCCGCGGUAAUACGGAAGUGGCGAGCGUUAUCCGGAAUCACUGGGCGUAAAGCGUUCGUAGGCGGCAGAGUAAGUCGGAUUUGAAAGCCCGGGGCUCAACUCCGGAAUUGGAUCCGAAACUACCUUGCUUGAGCGGAUCAGAGGGCAGUGGAAUUCCCGGUGUAGCGGUAAUAUGCGUAGAGAUCGGGAGGAACACCAGUGGCGAAGGCGGCUGCCUGGGGUCCAGCUGACGCUGAGGAACGAAAGCCAGGGGAGCGAACGGGAUUAGAUACCCCGGUAGUCCUGGCUGUAAACGAUGGGCACUAGGUGUCGGGGGGCUUCGACCCC
rnacentral:rRNA from 1 species